UACGUGAGGAGACGAGCGUUGUCCGGAAUUACUGGGCGUAAAGCGCGUGUAGGCGGAUGAGCAAGUCUGCUGUGAAAGCUCCUGGCUUAACCGGGAGUGGUCGGUGGAAACUGCUCGUCUGGAGGACGGUAGAGGUAGGUAGAAUUCCCGGUGUAGUGGUGAAAUGCGUAGAGAUCGGGAGGAAUACCUGUGGCGAAGGCGGCCUACUGGGCCGGACCUGACGCUGAGACGCGAAGGCGUGGGGAGCGAACGGG
rnacentral:rRNA from 1 species